AUGAAGAACGUAGCGAAAUGCGAUAAGUAAUGUGAAUUGCAGAAUUCAGUGAAUCAUCGAAUCUUUGAACGCACAUUGCGCCCCCUGGUAUUCCGGGGGGCAUGCCUGUCCGAGCGUCAUUACAACCCACAAGCUCAGCUUGGUAUUGGGCCCCGCCGCUCCGGCGGGCCCUAAAGUCAGUGGCGGUGCCGUCCGGCUCCGAGCGUAGUAAUUCUUCUCGCUCUGGAGGCCCGGUCGUGUGCUCGCCAGCAACCCCCAAUUUUUUUCAGGUUGACCUCGGAUCAGGUAGGGAUACCCGCUGAACUUAAGCAUAUCAAUAAGCGGAGGA
rnacentral:misc_RNA from 1 species